AUUGAACGCUGGCGGCAGGCCUAACACAUGCAAGUCGAGCGGAGCGGCGGACGGGUGAGUAAUGCAUAGUAAUCUGCCUGUUAGUGGGGGAUAACGUCCGGAAACGGGCGCUAAUACCGCAUACUAUCAGAUGAGCCUAGGUCGGAUUAGCUAGUUGGUGGGGUAAAGGCCUACUAAGGCGACUAUCCGUAACUGGUCUGAGUGGAUGAUCAGUCACACUGGAACGGAGACACGGUGCAGACUCCUACGGGAGGCAGCAGUGGGGAAUAUUGGACAAUGGGCGAAAGCCUGAUCCAGCCAUGCCGCGUGUGUGAAUAAGGUCUUCGUAUUGUAAAGCACUUUAAGUUGGGAGGCGUUACCAACAGAAUAAGCACCGGCUAACGGCGUGCCAGCCGCCGCGGUAAUAC
rnacentral:rRNA from 1 species